UUCUGGGGCCCUGGGGCCGGAACACGGUCAGCUGCCAGAGGAACAUAGAGAUUCUCUGAGAGUAUAGUUUCCAUGUUUUCCACGAGAAAAAUAGAUAACUUGGCUUAUAUAAAUGUGCGAUGCGUUAUACAUUUUGUUACAGAGAUGUUAUAUGUGCUGUGUUAUGUAAAGGCUCUUAGAAUGGGGUGGAAAGAGGCGUGGAAAUGUACAGUGAGGAGCUCUGAGAAUCAGGGCUGGAUUGCUCUGGUAAAUUUUGUGAUGAGAGACAUGACUCAGAGAAGGAAAGCGGUAAAUGUGGAUGUUCUGGACGUCAGUCACCGCCUCCGGACGGGCCCUCCUGCAGGCGCUGGGUCACCUCAAGCAAACUGAAGGGAAAUUCAGGAGGUUUCCAAUCCCGUGAAAAGGUGGGAAACCAGAAGUGCUUGUGUUGAAAAUGGGUGGGGGUCAGCGCCGUGGGGGUCCCGGUGUGUGCCCUGCCAGGGGAGGCCGGCGCCUGCGGAGCGGGGAGCGGAGCGGCUGCCAUCUGUCUGUGUGCUGCCAAGCCGCAGCCUGAGCAGCAGAGCUCCCACAGCGGGCGAGACAGAGCUGGGAUCUGCUUUCACCUGGAGCGUGCCCACCCCUGCUGACCAUUUCUCAGCUCUUUGCCUGCGGAAUUUCUCCAUGGUGACAAAAAGACCUUAGUUUCCCACCAGGAUCCGGGGGUGACACAGCCAAAACGUCACGCUGCCUUCCAGCUCCAGCACUGGAGUAGAAAGCGCCUGUUGCUGGAGGGUGUGGGCGCGUGGCCGGAGCGCUUCCAACUGGGAAGAGACAGCAGGACAGCUCCUGUGCCGUGCGGUUGUGUCAGCCUUCAGAGGGUUUCCCAGACGGAAAACCCGUGUCCUGGUUUGUGGUCGGAGUUCAGUGUGGGUUCUUCAUUUAUUUGCAUGGAAAAUGAGGACGUGGGGGUUUCUCAGCUGCGUUGUGAAACCAGUGUUUGGGGUGUGACUUUCUCUUGCUUGUGAUUUAUCCCCCAAGGAAAACCCCCUUCAGGAGGAUGUUUCCCCGUGCGUUGCCUCCUGACCAUCUGACGGCUCCCUCUGCUCUCAAGAGCUGACCGAGGCGUCUCGGCUUCCUUGGGAGCAGGAGAGCUGCAGAAUGGUAGCCUCCCUCUGCUCAGCCAAGCUGCCGCUCACGUGGCGGCCCCCCAUCCCGCAGCCGCUGCCACGACCGCGUUCCUGGGAAGUCCUUGAGGACUUUUCUUCCUCGCGUGCACCCUAAAAGCAAGAUCUGCCUCGUUAGAUUAUAGCUGAAAAAUCGCAGCCAGAUGGUCAAUCAUCAGCUUGGGCAACCAAAGGAAUGCAGAUAUUUUAGGUUCAAGGGUUUCCCAUUAUAUAAUGGAACAGACACCGGGGCGGCUGCGAAAGAGUUGGUUUCUUAUUUCUUCAGUUUUACUAAUGAUGAAGGAAUUGCUAUUUUUUUUUUUUUUUUUUGCAUGUUGCAGGUGUUUGAGAUUGGCAGGUCCACCCUUAGAGGCUCGUUGGUGUUUUCGGGGAAAAGAGGGGCAGGUUUGAGUCUGUCCUCAGCCAGAGCUGCUCCGACAGACGCACCCCAGGCUGACCCCAGCCCUUGCUCCCCACGGGUCCUUGUGGGUGCGUUGUGUUCCCAGGGGAUGUAUCACACCAGGACUGGGGGGGGCUCUGCAAGGGGGCUUGGAGGAACCCAAAAGCUGCUGCCGAGCUCACAGCCUUCAUCCGAGGAGCACCUCGGCACGUGGAAUGGGAAUGGGAGACUGUGGCUUCUCCCUCGGCCGCUGUGUUUAACCAUCAGCUGAUGGCUAAAAUCUGGCAGUGGGGAGUGUGGGUCAGAGCUGAGCGUGAGGACGGUCUCUAACAUAAAACCAGUGGGUUUGGAGUAGGAGAAGGAGCUUGAGGACAGGCAGGAACGCUGCAGCAUCCAGCAGCCUGGGCGCCGCGUCUCGGGGCAGCUCCUCCUCAAGGCGCAGGAGCCGAGCGCUGGGAUGGAGGAGGCUGAAAAGGAGCUGGAGAAGUUUGUGAUGGAGGGAAGCGGUGGCCUGGGGCAUCGAGGAGCUCUGGGCACCAGACCCUGCUGCUCUCGUGGUGGUUGUGGUCCUGGGGAGCUGCCCAAGGAGCAUCUCCCUUGUAGCAGGCAUGUCCAACCCCACCGCGGUGUCCCUGUGAUCCCUGGUGUCCCAGCACACGGAGCAGGACCCUGCCCGAAGCGUGUGGUGCAGGUGCUGGUGACCCUGUGGGGCUGCAGAGCGGAGCGGGGCCGGGUUUAACUCACGCUUUGUGCCCUCCUGGCCCUGCAGGCCCCCAAGAACUCAAGAUUCAGAAGCAGGCUGUGCAUCUGGAAUAUUUCUGGCUCACUCGUCGGGCUGGUAUCUAGACACCAGCCCAAAAUAGCUCCUCACUGAGAUGUGGCUCAGCCGUGGCUGGUGGCGACUCUCCUCCUGAAGUCCUGGGGGGGGUAUGGAGACGUCUCCGCUGCCGGGGGGGCAUCGGUGCUCUUUGCUCCCAGCCUUGCCCUGGCAGGGGAGGACACUGCGGCUGCAGAGGCAGCAAGGGCGGGGGGUGGCUCUUGGUGCAGAACCCCCCAGUUCAGCCUGUGCUCACCCCCAGCUCCCUGCUGUGGCCGGAGGC